GAUGAACGCUGGCGGCGUGCCUAAUACAUGCAAGUCGAGCGCAUGGAUUAAGAGCUUGCUCUUAUGAAGUUAGCGGCGGACGGGUGAGUAACACGUGGGUAACCUGCCCAUAAGACUGGGAUAACUCCGGGAAACCGGGGCUAAUACCGGAGAACAUGUUGAACCGAAUGGUUCGAAAUUGAAAGGCGGCUUCGGCUGUCACUCAUGGAUGGACCCGCGUCGCAUUAGCUAGUUGGUGAGGUAAGGGCUAACCAAGGCAACGAUGCGUAGCCGACCUGAGAGGGUGAUCGGCCACACUGGGACUGAGACACGGCCCAGACUCCUACGGGAGGGAGCAGUAGGGAAUCUUCCGCAAUGGACGAAAGUCUGACGGAGCAACGCCGCGUGAGUGAUGAAGGCUUUCGGGUCGUAAAACUCUGUUGUUAGGGAAGAACAAGUGCUAGUUGAAUAAGCUGGCACCUUGACGGUACCUAACCAGAAAGCCACGGCUAACUACGUGCCAGCAGCCGCCGUAA
rnacentral:rRNA from 1 species